rnacentral:rRNA from 1 species
AGUGAACGCUGGCGGUAGGCCUAACACAUGCAAGUCGAACGGCAGCACAGUAAGAGCUUGCUCUUACGGGUGGCGAGUGGCGGACGGGUGAGGAAUACAUCGGAAUCUACUUUUUCGUGGGGGAUAACGUAGGGAAACUUACGCUAAUACCGCAUACGACCUACGGGUGAAAGCAGGGGAUCUUCGGACCUUGCGCGAUUGAAUGAGCCGAUGUCGGAUUAGCUAGUUGGCGGGGUAAAGGCCCACCAAGGCGACGAUCCGUAGCUGGUCUGAGAGGAUGAUCAGCCACACUGGAACUGAGACACGGUCCAGACUCCUACGGGAGGCAGCAGUGGGGAAUAUUGGACAAUGGGCGCGAGCCUGAUCCAGCCAUACCGCGUGGGUGAAGAAGGCCUUCGGGUUGUAAAGCCCUUUUGUUGGGAAAGAAAAGCAGCUGGUUAAUACCCCGCUGUUCUGACGGUACCCAAAGAAUAAGCACCGGCUAACUUCGUG